GUGCUUGCUGUGGCAGCACAUAAACUAAGAAUUGGAAUGAAACAGAGAAGAUUAGCAUGGCGUUUCUGUGCAAGGAUGAACUGCAAACUUGUGAAGCUUCCAUAUCAAAA
ensembl:snRNA U6 U6 spliceosomal RNA